AGCAGCCGCGGUAAUUCCAGCUCCAAUAGCGUAUAUUAAAGUUGUUGCAGUUAAAAAGCUCGUAGUUGAAUUUCGGGAUUGACGUUAUGGUCGUGCCUUAAGGGGUAUGAACUGUCGCAGUUGAUUUCUCACCUUCUGGAGAAGCAUGAUGUCCUUAAUUGGGUGUCAUGUGGAACCAGGACCUUUACCUGAAAAAUUAGAGUGUUUAAAGCAGGCAUUUUGCUCGAAUACAUUAGCAUGGAAUAAUAGAAUAGGACGGCAUGGUUCUAUUUUGUUGGUUUCUAGGAUCACCGUAAUAAUUAAUA
rnacentral:rRNA from 1 species